UACGUAGGUGGCAAGCGUUGUCCGGAUUUAUUGGGUUUAAAGGGUACGUAGGCGGUGGAGUAAGUCAGUGGUGAAAGCCAACAGCUCAACUGUUGAACUGCCAUUGAUACUGCUUCACUUGAGUGCAGUUGAGGUGGGUGGAAUUCCAUGUGUAACGGUGAAAUGCUUAGAUAUAUGGAGGAACACCGAUAACGAAGGUAACUCACUAAACUGUAACUGACGCUGAGGUACGAAAGCGUGGGGAGCAAACGGG
rnacentral:rRNA from 1 species